AUAAACAAGGAUCCGCCUUUCCUAUUUUUCUUCAGCUUCUUUCUUACAUACCUGUGUUUCAACACUCGGAUUAUCUCUCCGGCAACGUCUUCCUGGUGGUGGAAGUGGUGAACACUGAAGGCCAAGUAACAAGUUAGCAAAAUGGGACCUGGUGGACCGGGAGGAGGGCCGGGAGGACCUGGUGGACCGGGAGGAUGGGGAGGAGGACCUGGUGGUUGGGGUCCUGGCCCCGGAGGACCUGGCGGAUUUGGGCCUGGAGGUCCUGGUUGGGGUCCGGGACCUGGAGGUCCUGGUUGGGGUCCGGGACCUGGAGGUCCCUGGGGCCCUGGAUUUGGAGGUCCUGGUUUUUGGCCUGGUGGGUUCUUUGGCGGCUUUGCAGAUGGUUUGUGCAAUAUGAUAUCUUCCUGGUAAGCAAUCAAAUCUUUACUCAAUUCCGGUAUAGUUAAAUGCGGUUUGAUUGAGGUUAAAUUUGAUUGGGAUUGC
rnacentral:lncRNA from 1 species